UUUUAUUAGAAUUAAUUAAUAAUAAAUCCUGCUCAAUGAAAAUUAAAUAGCCGCUUUUGUGCUAAGGUAGCAUAAUAAUUUGUCUUUUAAUUAAAGACUAGAACAAAAGGUUUAACAUCUCAAUUAAUAUUUUAUAAAAAACUUUUUAAAUUAUUUUAAUUGUAAAAAAACAAUUUUUAAAAAGAAAGACGAUAAGACCCUAUCGAACUUUACUUUAGUUUAACUGGGGAAGUUAAUUAAUUAUCAUUUUAAUAUAAAAAAAUAUACAAUUUGACCUAAUACUAUUAACAAUAUAAUUAAGUUACCGUAGGGAUAACAGCGUAAUAAAAUUUCUAAGAUCUUAUUUAAAAUAAAGAUUGCGACCUCGAUGUUGAUUUAAUAACCUAAUUAACGCAAUAGUUAAUUAAGGAAGUCUGUUCGACUUUUAAAAAAUUACA
rnacentral:rRNA from 1 species